ensembl:lncRNA novel transcript
CCACUUUCCUGGGCCGGGGUAGCGCUCUAGGGCAGAAGGGUAAACUCAGACACAAGGAGGGCUCUUAGAAAUGUGUGAGGAGACUGGUGAUCAGGCAAGGAUAUUAAAGGAAGAGAAUGUGGGGCUGAGAAAAGUUAUCUAUUGCUCAAUUGGACCUCUCCAGUUUCUGUGAGACAAUGUCCUUUCUGUUCCAGGCUGAACAUAGCAUACAGCAAGUGGAUGAUGUCCAAGGCAAUUCCUGGGUCUAGAAAUCCAUCAAGAAUGAUGCCUGGAGUCCAGAUCAGAGGAUCCUGAAUCAUCUGCCCUUUUCUCAAAUAUGGAAGGAGACAGAGAACUGUGACUGCCUGCAGGUCUUCUAGGUGACCCACUCACUGGGCAGAGGCACAGGCUCUGGAAUGGGCACUCUCAUUAGCAAGAUCUGAGAAGAGUACCCUGAUUGCAUUGUGAACAUCUUCAGUGUAGUGCCUUCACCCAAAGUGACACCAAGGUCGAGCCCUACAGUGCCACCCUCUCUGUCCAUCAGUUGGUAGAGAACACUGAUGAGACGUAUUCCAUUGACAAUGAAGCCCUGUAUAACAUCUGCUCCCACACUCUGAAGCGGACCACACCAACCUACAGGGAUAUGAACCCCCUCGUCUCAGCAACCAUGAACAGUGUCAUCACCUGCCUCUGUUUCCCUGGCCAGCUCAAUGCCGACCUCCACAAGUUGGCAGUCAACAUGGUCCCCUUCCCACAUCUCCAUUUCUUUAUGCCUGGCUCUUCCCCUCUCACCAGCCAUGGAAGCCAGCAGUAUCAAGCUCACAGUGUCUGAAUUCACCCAGCAUGUCUUCAAUGCCAAGAACAUGAUGGCUGCCUGUGAACCCCGCCAUGGCUUAUACUUCACCUUGGCUGCUGUCUUCACUGGUCAGAUAUCCAUGAAGGACGUCAAUGACAAAAUGUUAAAUAUGCAAAACAAAAACAGCAGCUACUUUGUGGAAUGGAUCUCCAACAACGUCAAGAACAGUCUGACAUCCCAUCUCAUGGCCUGAAAAUGUCAUUCACUGGUAUUGUCAACAUGGUCAUCCAGAAGCUCUUCAAGUACAUCGCAGAUCAGAGAAAGGGAUCAAGUGGGGAAAAGAGACCAUCCUUGGUCCCUAAGCCUCCAGAAAUGUCUUAAUCCCCACCUUUUCUUAUCCCGAAAAGGAAUUAACAUCCCUGACUAUGUGUGAUGGUGUAUACUGCCACAGUGUUUGAAUCAAUCCCCAGAGGAGAGGGGAACCCUCCUCCAUCUUUUCUGCAACAUCUCAUAUCUUCUUUUUGCUGUUGCUUCCCCUACCCCUACACUUGGUUUUGUUCUAUCCUACAUUUGAGA